AGGGUGUAACGUUCGUCUCCAACGGCUCUGUAACGUUCACCUAGUCAGAAAGGUGUUACGCUCGUCACAGGGGCGUGACGGGCGUAACAAGUACUUGGCGUGCCGUCCGUCAAAGAUUGUGUGACGCUCGUCACACAGUCUUUUUGGCGUGGCUUCAGCUAGCGUUCUUCAGAAUAACUUUGGUAAUUUAUUUUUUUAUUAUUUAUUUUGUUUUGCUUCAGAUUAUUUUAUUUUGCUAUUUAAUUUUCCUGCAUGCUAUAAUAGUGCAUAAAUGUAUUA
rnacentral:lncRNA from 1 species